GACUUGUUAAAAAUUGGUAAUGUCUGUGAACUAAUGAAAUGUUGUGUCUUGCAAGACUUGGUAAUGUCUGUGAACUAAUGCACUAUGUCUUGCAGGACUCUGUAGUGGAUGAUAAAGUGAACAGGAUGAAAGACACGUGGAUUCCUUACAAGACUAUGACAAACUUUGCUUUGCACAUGUAUACAAACGAGGACCAGUUCUGGAGUAUUUACAACAGUGCUGAAUAUCGGCCACUGAGAGAAGCCAGACAUCAACUCUGCAACACUACAUCCUUGCUGUUCACAGUGGAUCCUCGCAUUGCCUAAACUUGACUAGUCACAAGUAGAGUUCAAGGUCUUGAUGAACUUGUUACGUAUUGCCUUUAGUGUUUAAUACGUGUAAAAAAAAAAAAAGACAAUGCUUUUUUUUUCCUUCCUUUUUUAUGCUAUUCAUUCUUUACAAAUGAUUGAUUAGGACAAUGGCUUCCAUACAUCUGAACCAAAUAUUACAAUAUGAGCUUAUAUAUUGAUAUUGUUGCUGUUGGAGUAUGUUCUCAUUUCAUUAAUAGUGACUCUAAUUUACCUUUUUUAAAAAUGCUUAUUAGAUAAAGAGUAUUUUCCCUUCCUAAUAUUUCUUCUAACCCUGUGUGGGCCAACAAUUUCAUUUUAGUUGAUUUUUUGGGAAAAUUCUUUGUGAUGAAAAAAAAAAGAAAAAAGUUGUACUCAAAUAAAGGUGGAGACAGUCAUUGUGAGCAAAGAUUUUUAUUUUAUUUCUGAAACUGGAGAGGCCGCAAGAAAUAUUUUGAAACAAUGUUGGUCCAUGAUCAUGUGAUAAAUCUUUUUUAUUCAGUCUCAAACAAUGUCUAGACAUUUGAUAACUAUAUUUAUUAUUGUGUACAAUGUAGAUAGAAUAAACAUAUGAAAACAUUG
rnacentral:sRNA from 1 species